CCUGAUUGAAUUUUUCUAAUAAAUAGCAUUUAUUGUUUGUAUUUCUUAAAAAUUGGUCACUUUCUCUCUCAGUUUUCUCUCUCUCCCUCUCUCAUAUCGCUCACUCUCUCUCCCUCUCUCAUGUAAUUCUCUGUAUACAAAUUUCUCCUGUCUCUCCGAUAUAUGCCUUCUCAUUCCUGCAUUUUAUUUCAUUCUAGCAAGCUUCACCUUUACAUUUUGCUUUGUGAUUGUCCUCUGCAGGUUUGAAUGGAGCGCACUAGGAGGAGUUUGGUGGUGGUUGAGGGGAUUCUGAGAUGAAUUCAUUGAAGGAGUCAUCGAUCAGUAAGGUAUUUAUAGUUACAAUAAUAUUUUACGGGUACAACACCUCCAUGACUGUGUUUUGCCAAUUUUAGACUUUAAUCCGUUGCUUCUAUUCCAGGAUUUAGAAGAAUGGAACCUGAAUGGCCAUGAAAGUAAGUUUUAAAUUUUAUCUACCUUUUUGUUUCUUUAUUUUCAUGAAAUCAACAUUUAUACACUUUUGUGUCUUGCUAUUAUUGAAAUUCCUUUUGAAUCUGGUCCAAGAAGCAAGCACCUAUAGAAGGAAGUGAUCAUAGAUUUAGGUGGAGAUUAUUUGAUAAGACAGAAAGAAACUGCAAGUGCGAGAAGAAGAGUUUGACAUAUUCAGUUUGCUUAAUGUAAGUUUUAAAUUGGGGUUUUUAAACUUAGUGUUCUUUCUUCUCCAGUUGCUGAAUCUAACAACGUUGAGAUUCUUUUGCAGGGCUCAUUGGCAAAUUAAGGUAUUUUUUAUUGUACUUUUAAUUUUUGAUUAGUUUGCUAUUUCUUUUUUUAUUGCUUUUAUGAUUCUUAACUUUAAUAUGAUAUCAUGCUAUUUCUAUUCUUGCUUAAUAAUUCUAAGUCUCAGUAUACUCUUACAUAUAUCUUGACCUAUUUUAUUGUUAACAUUUUAAAUUUGUUUAUCAAAUUGAAGUUUUUGUAAUUACAGAAAUAUGGACUACUCAAAUUCAACUUAAUCAAUGAGUUAAUUUCAUUAAAAAAAAAUUACCAUUAGUGACAAUAGUUGUAUAUUUGUGAACCAUCUAUGAUAUUUGCAUCAUGUUAUACAGUUUUUAUGAUCUCUUAUCCACUUUAAUGAUUUGUACCUUUUGGAAUGAUCUAGGACAUAUUGCUCUGUUAUUGGCAUUUGGAAGUACUUAUGUAGUUUUAUGGCAUUUGGAAUGUUUUUAUGGUCUUCUAUUGGAUUCAUAUUAUGUAGUUUUAAGUAUGCUUUUCAUAAGUUUAAUAAAAUACUGACAUAACUUGAAACUGAUAUGCUUCACGAGGCUAUCAAAGAAACGAAUUACUCAUUUUUCAUGUCCUAUGUAUAAGCAAUCGGUUUCUCUAUAAAAUUUAAAUUGAUGUCCUUGGCUAAUUGAUAUUUUAUUCUUUAGCUUCAUUUUGGAAAUGGUAAUUGAUGUACUUGGCUAAAUUGAUGUGCAAAUUUUUGAAAGAAAAUAUUGUUGAAAAAUGAAUAUGCAAAUUUUUUAGCAUAGUUUAUUUGAUCUUUAUAUGCUGCAGAGCCUCUCUUGCAGAAAGUUGAAGCAACAUAUCAUUUUCACUUGAAGUUUCAGCUUAAUUGGCUCUUCAUUCUUUCUAACCACUGUUUCUUAAUUGUUGUGUUAUAUGGUAGCAAUGUUACUUGCAAGAUAACAAUUGUGGAAGAAGGCAGUAUCAAUCCUAUCUUGAAGUUUCAGCCUUGGAAUAAAUUUUUUUAAUUUAUUUUCUCAAUGUAUGAUGUAAUGUUAGAGAAUGAUAUGGUUGUUUUGGUAACAUACAAUAGCUCUUAACUUUCUUGGCAAUGACAUCUUAAAGAAGGAAAUGUAGUGAAUAACAUUUGUGUUAGAAUUCAUAUUGAUUAAUAUUUCUAUUGUUCUUUGUGCAAAAUAUAAUUCAAAGAUAUAAAAAUUAAUUAGAAAUACA
rnacentral:lncRNA from 1 species